rnacentral:lncRNA from 1 species
GUGAUUUUGAUACCCCACAGCUUUGACUUGACAAAUCACCAAAUCAACUAUUGCGAAAGAAAUUAAUAAUAAACAUUGUCAUCUUAAACGAACAAUCAAUAUAUCAGGGAUUCAAAAACCUGAGAAAAUAUAUGGACUUUUAAAACCAAAGAAUUAAGGGAACGAUAGGCAUAUCAUAUUGUGAAGAAUUCGUGUAAGGCAUAUAAUUUUCUACAAAUUUGCACCAUUUUCUUCCCCCUUUUUACUUUGUGGUUUUCUGAUGGUGUCCCAAAUUUCUAAUCUGAACUCAUUCUUACAGGUAACUAUUAUCUGCAAACUGUCUAAUUCUCCUAUUGAAUAGCCCUUGGUUUAUCAAAACUGAAAUGAUAGGACCAAUUCUUUAAUUUCUAGACAUGAUCACCAAAAAAACAAGAAGGUAAGGUUUAUUACCUGAACUCGGGAGGGUUCUCGGGCCACUGGUUAGUCAACGUCCUUAUUUCUUUAUCCUCUGGCUCAGGUGAAGCAGGGACAAAACUUGGAUCUUUUAACAAGAAAUCAAAGACCUCCUUCCAAUCUCUAACAUUCUUUGUGUGCUCGUAAUAAAUGUACCCUAUAGCAUGCACUUUAUCCCGUUUAACUUUCCUCUUUUCCUCCAUGGUCUGAUCAAAGAAUGUUUUCGUUGCUUUCUUAAUCAGUGUGCCUAAUUCCAAAGGCACCCUAUGAUCGAUCACUUGAAAAAAUCCCCACCUUUUGCACGCGUUUCCAAUCUUUGAAACAAGUUCUUUGAUGUCUCUAGUGUCAGAUACAGAAAGGUCGAUAAGUAAGAUUCCUUCGACUUCGAUAGUAUCGAGUUUAGGCCUAUGUUUGGUGGCUUGGAUGGACGCUGAAUCGAUCUCUCCCAUGGUUCUUUUGACAGUGUGGUACCUAGUAGCUAGAUGAUGGUAAAUUAAUGCGAGACAAGAAGCCAAUGGUUAUCUUCUUUUAUUCUUAUCAAAUGAGUAUAGGUUUUUUUUGUCAGGCCUAAAGCAAUAAACUUCACAAUUUUGAAGUAAUAUAUCAUAAUAAAUUUAUAAUAAUAGACAAUAAUCAAAAUCAAUAAUGCAAAAAAUUAAAGCAUAUCAAGAUUUACGUAAAAAAUCCUCCAGUAUAGAGGAAAAAAAUCACGGACUAUCAGAAAAAAUCUUCAUUAACAAAUAAUGGAUAUAUAAAGUUUUUUUUUAGCUAAAACUAAAGUUAAUCAACAACUAAAGAGACAAUUAGAGAAAUCUCACAAAAUAAGUAACUCAACAAAUACACCUUAAAUUUAUUCUUAGAGAGCUUUAAACAUGAUCUUCACCAUUCAGAAUGUAAAACUUUGAAUCAUAAAUCUAGUGACAAAAUUUCAGUUCAAUCGAAUUAUGGAUCGACUUCCAUUCAACUAACUCUCUUUUCUCCCUUUUCUCUCCAUUUUCCUGGCUUCUUUUUUUUCCCUUUAUUUUCUUGCUUUAGGGCGCCACCUUGUUUUUCACCUUAAAAGUGCCUCUGCCUUUUUUUAUUAAAUAGCUAGUGCUCUAUAUAAAAGGAAAUACCAAGGCCUAUGGCCUUUAAUUGGUCCAAAACCAAUUACAUACGGCUAGACCUCACUUUUUGAACAAUCUUCCCCUUCAACCUCAUUAAGAGGAGAUUCAUCACCAUAGCAGUUUCAUUUGAAACUUACAUUGGCCAAUGAUCCUAUUUCAGCCAAGUUACUACAAAGCUCAAGCUUUUCCCUGGGAAAUGUCUUAGUCAACAUAUCUGUUACAUUCUAUCAGUGUGAAUUUUUUUUAACAGCAUCUACUGUUCCUCAAUCACUGAAUAUAAGUAGUGAAAUCUAACAUCAAUUUGUUUCAUUUUAGCAUAGUACAUGGUAUUCUUAGUCAAAUCUAAAGUACUCUAACUGUCACAAAAUACCACAUAUUUUUUUUUAUUCAACCUUAAUUCAAGAAAAAAAUGUUUCAUCCAAAGCAUUUCUUUACUUGCUUCGAUUGUUGCAAUAUACUAAGCUUGUGUAGUUGAUAGAGCAACACACUUCUGCAACUUAGAUGGCCAAGACACAGCUCCUCCUGCAAAAGUGAACAAAUACCCUAAAAUAGAUUUUCUACUAUUAAGAUCACUUGCCAUGUUAGCAUCAGUAAACCCUUUAAGAAUUGGUUGUGAAACUCUAUAACUCAAACAUAUUUUUGAAGUACCCUUCAAAUAUCUGAAAAUCUAUUUCACUACUUUUCAAUGAACCUUUCUCGGAUUAGAAAGAAAUCUGCUCAUUACACUAAUUGCAUGAGCAAUGUCAGGCCAUGUGCAAACCAUAAAAUACAUUAAAAAACCAAUUGCAGAAGAAUAAAGAAUACUAAACAUAGGUAGUUUCUCUUCUUUAGUCACCGAACAAGAUUUUUUACUCAGAUAAAAAUGAUUAGUAAGUAGACUACUAAUUGAUUUAGCAUGUUACAUGUUAAAUCUACUAAGCACCCGUUCAAUAUAUUUUUCCUAUGAUAACCAUAACUUUUCAGCUCUCCUAUCCUGAAUAAUAUUCAUAUCGAAAAUUUGCUUUACUGGACCUAAAUCCUUCAUAUAAAAGGACUUAGAUAAUUAUUCUUUCAACCUGCGAACUAUAUCAACAUCUUGUCUCAUAAUUAACAUAUCAUCAACAUAUAAUAAGAGAAUAAUGAAGUUACCAUCAAAGAAUUUUUUUACAUACACACAAAGAUCCACUAUCAUUUUUUUUAUAACUAUAGCUCACUAUAAAAGAAUCAAACUUUUUAUACCAUUGUUGCGGAGCUUGUUUCAAGCCAUACAAGUUUUUUUUCAAUUUGCAAAUUAAGUACUAUUUCCUUUUCACUUUAAAACCCUUUAGCUAAUUUAUAUAAAUAUCUUUCUGUAAGUCAUCAUGCAAUAAUGUAAUUUUUAUAUCAAGUUACUCAAGCUCAUGAUUCAAAUUAGCCAUUAAUCCUAGUACUACUUGAAUAAAACUCAUCUUCACAGCUAAAGAAAAGAUCUCAUCAAAAUUGAUACUUGAUUUUUUUAGAAAACUCUUUCACCAAUCGAGCUUUGUACCUUACGAGCUUGUCACUAUCCUUUUUCAACUUGAACACCCAUUUAUUAUUUAAUAGCCUCUUUUCUUUCAUAAGUUUAACAAAAUCAUAUGUACUAUUUUUUCAUAAUGAUUUCAUCUUUUUUUUAUUAUUUUUAACCAGUACUCUCUAUCCAAAGUAGUUUGCACAUCUUGAAAGCUCUCUGACUCUCCCUCACUGGUAACUACAAUAAAAUCUGAACUUGGAUACCUAAUAGAUAACCUGUGCUUUCUAGUAGAUCUUUUAGGCUGAAACUCUACACCAUCUAAUGCUAAAGGCAUCUCUCUCUACUCAACACUCUCAGAUAGAGAAGAUUGUUCCCUUUGCUAAAAUUGAUUGCAUUUGGCUCAUCACUAACUAUGGUUGGCUCAUUCAUAUCCCCAAAUUUUGUUUCUUGCUUAUUUUACCAUUUGUGACUCUUUCUUGUGAAACUCCUAUCGAUGUUGAAACAUUAUAUUCAAUAGUAACCUGCCCAGUCUUCUCAUUUUUCUCUAAGUAUGCUAUGGUUUCUUUUUCAUGAAAGACCAUAUUUUUGCUUCUGAUUAUCUUUCUAUUUACUAAAUCUCAUACUAUGUAGCUAAAUUCCUCAUCACUAUAUCCUACAAACACAUUAUAUGACUUUAUUGUCGAGCUUUGACCUAUGUUCUUUUGACACAUACAUGAAUGCUUUACACCUAAAAACUUUUAAGAGAAAAUAUAAAGCAUCUUUUCCUGUCCACACUCUUUUUGAAAUGUCAAAGCCUAAAAGAACUGAUGAUGAUCUAUUAAGUAAAUAAUAAGCUGUGUUGAAUGCUUCACCCCAGAUUGGCUUUGGUAAUUUUUUCAUCCUCAACAUGCAUCUGACUUUUUUUAUAAUGAUACAUUUAUCCUUUUAACUACACUAUUAUGCUUCGAUGUUUCAGGUUCUAUCAUCUUAUGUCUGAUCUCAUGCCUUGAAUAGUAUUUUUCAAAGUCUUUGGAUAUGUAUUCCUCAUCAUUAUCAGUCUAAAUACACUUCAAAGGCAACUCUGUCAUCUUUUUCACCAUUACAUAAAAUUUUUAAAAAUACUAUAAUACCUAACUUUUAUUUUUUAACAUAUACAUCCAAGUAUUACUUGAAGCAUCAUUAAUAAAAGUAACAAAAUACUUGCUAUCACCUAAUGACUCAACCGCAAUGGGACCAUGAGGUCAGAAUAAAUCAAUUUUAAUAUAUUUUUUUUCUCUGAAAAAUCUUUCUGAAAAAAAACUUUACAAUGCCUACCAAACAAAUAAUGAUCACAUGAAUAGAGAGAUAUAGCUUUGGUUAAGGGAAUGAAAGACUGCUUUGUCAAAACCUAUAACCUCAUUUAACUUAUGUGUGCUACUUUCUUGUGCCAUAAGUUUAUUGAAUCAUUAUCUUCAAUGGUAUUUAUCUGGUUGCCAUUCAAUUACAUCCAUGUCAUGUACAUUAUGCAACAUAAUUUUUUUCUUGUAACUACCAUAGAUCCUUUGAGAAGCUUUCAUUGUUCAUUCUUUUGUCAACUCUCAUAUCUUUUCUUAUCAAAGACAUUAAUAGCAAUCAAGUUCAUUUUCAGUAAACUUGUGGUACAAGUUUACUGACAUUCCUCAAAGUUAAUAUGCAACUUAUACUAAUUUGUAUAAUAAUAUCACCAAUCCCAAUAAUCUGUGACACACUCUUAUUUUUCAUCUUAGUGCAACCAAAGUUUUUUACUUUUUAAAUUGUAAACAACUCUCUUCGAAACACAAUGAUUUGUCACUCUUGUGUCAACUAUCCACUCAAUGCUGAGAUCACCAACAUAAUUAUAAUCACCAUGUGUAUAAAUUAAAGUAACCGAAUCACUAUUUGAAUUCACCGUUACAAUAUUGCCAUCAUUUGAACUCUUAUCUUUCUCAUAUUUUCACUUUUGCUUCAAGAUUUUAUAGUAUCGUUUUAUAUGACCUACUUUACCAUAAUAAAAACACUUCACUUUAUCUCUGGACUUAAAUCUAUGUUUAAACUUACUAUAACCUUUUGAGUUCUGACCUCUGACGAUGUUUUCACUCUUUUUCUUUGUGAUUAGAACUUGAUGUUCAGGGUCUAAAUCUUUUUGCCUUACUUUUUCAUUAAGCAUAUUGUCAUUUACCAUCUCUAAUGUCACUUUGUAAUCAGAAGUUAAAUUAAGAAUAGUCAUAACUAGAAUAUUCCAGCUGUCUAGUAAUGAACCCAAAAGAAACAUCUUUAUUUCAUCAUCUGUCUUAAGCUCCAUAGUAGUCAUAUGAUUAAAUAUAUAUUAAAAAUCACUCAAAUGCUCUGUAAUCAAUUGUCCAUCCCUGUACUAUAAAGUUGUAAGCUUUUUAAUAAGUAUAACUUUAUUCAUACUUAUUUUUUUCUCAUACAAUAUUAUUAAUUUUUUUCAAAUAAUGUGAACAUCUGUCUAUUGCGCUACAUGAUAAAACACGUUGAUAUCAACCUAUUUUUUAAUUGUAGCUAGCAUAUUUCUACCUAACUUCUUUUAACUUUCAUCUUUCAUAUAUGUUGGUUUAGUCGAAUUGUCCAAUAUCGACUCAUAUAAAUCUUUACAGUAUAAAUGAUCUUUCAUUAUAGGCUUUCAAAUUGAAUAAUUUGAUGGUGUCAAUUUUAUCAUGACACAUGUAUUACCUUUCAUAAUCUCACAGAAUUUAUUUUUGUCUUAGACUUUAUCCAUAUUGAUGUAUCAAAAUAACUCUUACUUUGAUACCCUUGUUGGGCCUAAAGCAAUAAACACAAUAACGUCGAAGUAAUAUAUCGUAAAUAAACCACUAGUAAUAAACAACAAAUAGAGCUAAUUAGCAACUAGAGCAAUAAUUGAAAAAAUCUUACUAAAUAGAUAACUCAAUAAAUAUACCAUGAAUUUGUUCAUAGAGAGCUUCAAACAUGAUCUUCACUGUUUAAAAUGUAUAACUACGAAUCAUAAACUUGCUAAUAAAAUUUUAGCUUAAUCGGAUCACGAAUCGACUUUCAUUUAACCAACUCUCCUUUUUUUUUUCUCUAUUUUUUUGGAUUCUUUUCUUUUCUUUUCUUGGUUUGUGGUGCCACAUUGUUUUUCACCUUAAAACAGUCUUUACCUCUUUUUAUUAAGUAGUUAAGGCUCUAUGUAAAAAGAAAAAUCAAGGCCUAUGACCUUUGAUUAGUCCAAAACCAAUUACACGGGCUGAACUCCACUUUUCUAACAUUUUUUACAUAGUUUUAUAUGCAUUGAACAUGGAUAAUUCUCUAAAAGAGACUUAUCUAAAGCCGGUGGGGUCUUCUUUGGAUGUUGUGUUGUGUGUGUGUCAAAUUGUGAUUACAUGGCUUUCAAGUUGCAUUAUACCAUCACUCUGUUUCUGUUUUCCUUUUAUUACUAUUGUAAAUGGAGAACAAAUUGCAUGAAUGGAACAAGUCCCUAAUGUAAUGUUUCUUUCUACUGUUUCAGUAAACUUUUCAUGUAAAGACGCAUAUAGUUUUUAAAAUUUUUUUAAAGGCACAGCUCAGUAUAAUAUACAAGCUUGGACGAUUCAGCAAGAUACAUCUUCUUGCUAUUUCAAGUUAGAUUUUUGAAAUGCUAAACAUAUAAUCAAGACCAAUAAAAUUUAUAAAACCUCGAGAAUCUUAACCUCUCAAAUCCAUAAAAAGAAUAUGGUAUCUGAAUUUCUUUUGAUCUUUAAUGUGGAAAUAUAGUGUUUAACAUUCCAAAUUUCGUUCCUAAUCCCACAUUAGAAUAAUGUGUAGAUAUGAUAUGAUAUAUAUGUAAAGAUCUAAACCUAAACCUAUGAGUCACCUUUUAUGAGACAAUCGUGAGAGUUUCAAGUUAAAACGGAUAAUACUUUACAAAUUGAGCACGGAUCUCUACAAAUGAUAUUAGAGUGAUCACUAAUCGACAGAAACUAAGUGCUAUGUCGUAAGAUUCACCAAGUGCUACACGGUGAAGAGCCACUUUUAGAUUAAAAAAAAAUGUAUGGGUAUGAUCUUGGCCCUUUAAUCCCACAUUAGAAGAAUGUGUCAAGCUUUCAAGGAGAAUGUGUGGAUAUGAUAUUGGUCCUAUAGUUGGAUUCAACUUGACAGAAAGAUCACGCUUUAAAGGAGGGACGUCAAGUUUUAAAGGUGAAAAAAUUGUAACGCCUUCAAUCCCACAUUAAAAGAAUGUAUGGAUAUGAUCUUGGUCUUGUGGUUAGACUUGACUUAACAAGGACAUCAAGCUUUAAAGGUAGGAAACUAAGUGUUAUACGAUGGAAAGUCACCUCUAAAAUCUCAAUAUCUAAUGUAAUAUUGAUCUUAUGAUUAUACUCAAUUUUAAAAUUUUAAUAUUUAGUAUGAUCUUAGUUCUAUAGUUGAACUCAACUUAGUAGGAACAUCGACUUAAUAAAAAUGUCAACCUUUAAAGGUGAAGAAAUUGUAAUACCCUUUAUCUCACAUUAGAAGAAUGUGUGGAUAUGAUCUUGAUUUCGUGGUUGAUUCGGCUUGACAAGAAUGCCAAGCUUUAAAAAUGAAAAAUUAAGUUCUACAUCAUGGGAGUUACUAACAAUUACAUGAUGGGAAGCCACCUAUAUAAUUCCAACGUCUAGUGUGAUUUUGGUCCUGUAGUUAAACUCGAUUUGAUAAAGAGGUCAAGCUUUAAAAGUAGGUAAGCCACUUUUAAAAUUUCAACGUCUGAUGUGAUUUUAAUCAUGUGAUUAGACUUGACUUGAUAGAGAGGUCAAGUUUUAAAGAUGGAAAGAUUGUGACGUCCUUCAUCCCACAUUACAAAAAUGUGGAUAUGAUCUUGAUCCUAUGGUUGAAGUCAACUUGACAGGGACGCCAGGUUUUAAAGUUGAGAAAAUUGUAAUACUCUCAACCCCACAUUAAAAGAACGUAUAGAUAUAAUAUAAUAUAUAUAUAUAUAUAUCUAAACCUAAAUAUGUGAGAUCCUAAUUAUGAAAUAAAAUUGUAAGAUUUUUAAAUUAAAGCAUAAAAUACCUCAUAAGUUAGAUGCAAAUCUUCACACAAAGAGAUCUAAAAAAAAUAAAACUACUUUACCCCCUGGAUAAAAAAGAGUUCAGUUCAAUGGUCUAGCAUGAGUGAGAGUCGGGGUUAAACUCAUCUAAAGUGGAACUAUUUACAUGGAAAAUAUCAAGACACGAAUAGAAUUCGAGUUUUCAAGCAGCUGGCAUUGAGGUUGAAAGGACUACAUAGGACAAAUAUUGGAGUAUAUCUUGGAUUUUGCUCACUGUAGUGGUCUGAUCACCACGGAGAUGUUCAGAGAAGGAAUUAUCUUUCUCCUGAAUUGAUGCCUGUGGAAGUGCUGCAUGUGAAUCUACAGUAGCACUCUUAAUGGCCACUAGAUAAGCUUCAACUACAUCAGAUAUGCCUAAAGAACACAUUUAACAAUAAUCACCCUCAGCUAACCGUGCUCACAUGUAAAAUGUAAACAUAAAACUGAUCAAAGAAGAGAACAAAGGUAUAUGCUGCAAAAAAAAAAAAGAGUGUUAAGAAAGGAGUACAAGGAAACUAACCUCGGAAUUUAUCUAUGGAAGCCUAAUCUUGGGGAGAUAAGAAAGAUUCUUUUUAUCUGAUAUCAUGGUUUCAUAGCGUAUAAAUUACAACAAGCAGAAUCCAGGUGAUUUACUAGCAGAUGUGCAUACAUCAGUCAGAUAUCUUAAAAUUAUGAAUUUGAAUGUUUUCAACCUCAAGCUUCUUAUAAUCACUGCGGUUUCUAGCAACAAAAAACUUUCCAAAGUUGUAUUCUUUAUACUUUGCUGGAUUUUGCUCAUUCACUAGCUCCUCCAGUGGCUUCACCAUAACAUAGUGAGAAGGGAAAAAGAAGACAGGCACUGAAAACCUUUCCCUUUCGGAGUUCACCACCACCCUGUGCUCCACACUCUCAUAAAAUUCAUUACUCCAGACCUGCAAAAAAUCAGGUGUUUGUCAGCUAUAAUGAUACAAAUUUUACCCUGAUGGCCAUACCAUCUAUCCAUCUUUUGAUAGGUCUAGGUUCAAUUGUUCUAAUCCAAUUAACCUCUUAAAUUCAACUAUUCAAAUCGAAAAGAAUAUUAAACAUAUAGUAAGAUGAAUGGUUGCAUGAACUUAACUAAAUUAGCCAAAAUUAAGUCAUAGUACCUGAACAGUAUCACCAACAUUGAUGAUCAAGGCAUUUGGGAUUGGUUUAACUGGAAUCCAAUCUCCAUCUGAUUUUCUCUUUACUUGUAGUCCUCCAACAUCAUCCUGGGCAAGGAUAGUUAUGGCACUAGCAUCCUUGUGUCGACCAACCCCCAGUGCUAGGUCAGGGCAAGUGCAAGGAGGAUAGUAAUUAAGCCUUAACAUGGUAAUAUGGUCUUUGAAGCAGCCAGUCAACUGGUUAGCCGGCAAUCCUAAGCUUAAGGAGAUGAGUUCCAACAGCUUGUAACCGAGUUUUUCCACCUCUCGAGCAUACUCCUGGCAUACAUUCCUAGCCAACAUUAACAAACCAAGCGCCAGAUUAACACUAUUGAUUAGAAAAGCAGGUUCAUAUUCAGACAAAGUAUGGUGAUUUUGAUACCCCCACAGCUUUGACUUGACAAAUUACCAAAUCAAUUGCUAAAGAAUUUAAUAAUAAACAUUGUCAUCUUGAACCAACAAUCAAUACAUCAGGGAUUCAACAACCUGAGAAAAUAUAUGGACUCUUAAAACCAAAGAAUUAAGGGAACUAUAGGCAUAUCAUAUUGUGAAGAAUUCGUGUUAAGGCAUGUAAUUUUCUACAAAUUUGCACCAUUUUCUUCCCCCUUGUUACUUCGAGGUUUUCUGACGGUGUCUCAAAUUUCUAAUCUGAACUCAUUCUUACAGGCAGCUAUUAUCUGCAAACUGUCUAGUUCUCCCAUUGAACAGUCAUAGGUUUAUCAAAACUGAAAUGAUUGGACCAAUUCUUUCAUUUCUAGACAUGACCACCAAAAAAACCUAAAGGUAAGGUUUAUUACCUGAACUCGGGAGGGUUCUCAGGCCACUGGUUAGUCAGCGUCCUUAUUUCUUUAUCCUCUGGCUCAGGCGAAGCAGCGACAAAACUUGGAUCUUUUAACAAGAAAUCAAAGACCUCCUUCCAGUCUCUGACAUUCUUUGUGUGCUCGCUAUCAUGGUAGCCCAUAGCAUUCACUUCAUCUCGUUUAACUUUC